rnacentral:lncRNA from 1 species
AGAAUUUGCAGAUGUAUAACUUUCUUUUUUUUCCUAAUCUUACCCUUGUAAAAAGGAUUCAUGAUCUUUUAAAGCUAAGUAUUUCUGAUCAGAUAAUGAAGUGUCUUAUAUACCUUGGGGGGGGCACUUCCUGUGACUUGUGCUGGUGACCAAAAUUAGAGAGGAUGUGAAGGGUCGAAAAGGGCAGAGCAGGCCGGCCCUGGGCCAUUAGUUUACACGCGCACUGUCGACUCCCCUUGGCAAUGGUGGUGGUGAAGCCUUCUGUAUACAGACAACUGAUUCAGAUUGGUUACUUAGAAUCUGAGAAAGUCUUGACCAAAAAUCCUUAAGUCCACCAACCCAUUCCAGCAAAAUACUAUCAGAGUAGUGCUGUCCAAACUAGAUUCUUCUGUAUGUGCUUGUUGUUUUUUAAGUAAAAACCAUGAGCAUCUACCACUUAGCCCAUUUGUUGCUAGAAGGGAAAAUAAUCUUCUAGCUUCCAGUCAAAACAUAUUCAGUUGUCAAUGAGUUUUGAUAUGUUAAAACAUCCAGAAGUAUUUUUAGAAUUUUAAGAUUUCCAUGCUAACAGACUACUUGAACGUUCAUGCUAAUAGUAUGAUUAAAUACUUCAUUGAAGUUCUCUGAAAUGUUACACUUCCAUUAUAUAUGAUAAUGUUCUGAAAGAGACUGGGCUCAUGUGACAGGAUUGCAUUUUAACAGAUCUUUAACUGGGACAGUUCAGAAAUUAUGCUUGGUCAGUUCUCCUGGAUGGUACGUCAUGUUAAUAUAACCUAUACUAUAGUUGAAAUUGGGUUAUGCCAUUACUCAUAUGUUGGCUUAGGUACUGUACAUAGUCUUAAUAGCUGAGAUGUUAAAGAAUAUGAAGUCUAAAAAUACAAAGGAUGAAACAGGCCUAUAUUAACCUGUUUUAAGACUGCUUUGGAUAUAAAGGCCUUAUUCCCUUAUAUAUGACUUUUUAGAAGAUAAUAUAUAUUCACAGUAUAUUUUAAAUGGUCAUGUGGGUCAUCUCUAACUACUCUCCAGGUGACAAAAUUUGCAACAUUUUUAAUUUAUGUGGACAACAAACUCCACAUUCACAAGUGUUUAUGUUCAUCCUAUGUAUAAAACAAAGAAUUCUCUUUCUGAUACUAUACUCAUUGACCAAAUCCCAUGUACAGGAAGACAUUUAGGGUAUAUUCAGUUUGGUUUUUUUGGAGAUAUGUCUUAUUUUGGGGAUCACCUUCCUCUUAUACAUUUACUUGAUCCUCUGGAAGUUGAUAGAGUUGUGGGUAAUCAUGUAAAUGCUUAUGAAUAAAAUUUUAUUGAAGUGAUUCCAUUAGUAUUCUAAUCUCUAAUACAUGGAAAAUGACCUUCAUAUUUAUAUUUUUUGUUAAUUUUCCAACUGUUAAUCCAGGAAAUGUUUUCCUUUUUUUUUAUCAAAACUAAUUUUUUAUUGUAAAAUAUGAGUAAUGUAAAGGUGAAUCUUACACAUGUUCAAUAAAAAUCAUAUCUUAAAG